ensembl:lncRNA
CUGAAGUAUGGCGGAGAUCAACAGCUUGUCAAGCUAUGCAAGGGAAUUAUCCACACAAGAUCGCGAAUUGUACUUCAACAAGUUGAAUUUGACAAAUGGUGUCCGACUUUAAGAUCUGUGUACUAUUAAUGAGUGGGUUGAAGAAGACGUCAGCAAGUGGCCGAAUAUACAGUGGCCAGCUAUAUAUACGUAUUUAAUAGAGAAAUCCAGCGUGUACACCAGAGAGAAAUUACGGGCAUAUAAAUCACUGGAUACUUAUGAAUACCUUGUCUGUGGUCAUGUACAGAACUUCAAAUACCAUGACAUAGACUCUUGAGGUUUGUGUGAUGGAAUCAGAAAUCCUCCCUAGUCGAAGACAAGGACACAAGACAACGAUGUAUGAGGCUUGGGUUAUAAUCAACCAACGAGAAAACGACGUCCUCACAGCGAAUUGCACCUGUAUGGCGGGACUUGGGUCAUGCUGCAGCAAUAUUGUUCAAAGUUGAGCUCUAUGUUAGGAUGGGAAGGACAGAGAAAGCAGCGGUUACUUCUGGAGUGUGCAUGUGGAAAGAUAUCAGCAGGAAAGAAGUCAGACCAGCUCCAUUGAGGGAAAUCAGCUUCCAAAAACCAAAGAGGCUAAGCAGGCAGCUUCCAGCAGCUUCAACAUCUGCUAGGAUGAGUGGUAUCACACCCAGAGUGUUGACAGAUGAUGACAUCCGGGAACUGCAGGUUGUGGACCCAGGUGUUGCAGUGCUGACAAGCCUGGAAAAUAGUGACCCGCUCACUGCAUCAUCUGACCCUGAUUCAGAGGAGCUUCCAGACUUCCAAUACCACUUCAUGGUCUGGAAAACUGUUCUUAUGGCUGUGAACCAACCUGACCUGAUACUCACAAGGUCCUGUGGCGCCCUCCGUCCCCCCGCUGCCUGGGUCUGACCACCACUCUGUUGCUGUUUCUCUCCUCUUGAAGUCCUCCCCCUCAGAUCCACUCUACUCUACUGAAAGCUCGCCCUCCCUCUACGUUCGCCUCACCUGUUCUCUACCUUCUGUCAGACGAUUCGCUCUACUAUCCAUCGAGGAAUCCUCUGACACUAUGCAAUCCUCCCUCCCCCUCUUUGGACUCCCUCUGUCCCUUCGAAUCCAGACCAGCAUGAUUUCCCCCCGACGAAAGGGAAGAGAUCAGACUGUUCUUAUGAUCUAUCUCUGUCACGUCUGCUGCUAACGUUGAGGACCCAAAAUGCACGACACAAAGAUUAGUUUCAAAACGACAGGUUUUACUCACGGAUACAUAAAACACGAGGCACAAGGUGCAUGCCAACAGAAACAAUGAUCGAGCAAGGAACUGAACCAAGGCAACGACUUAAAUGCACAUGAUUAAAAGACACAGGUGGGCAGGGAACAAGGUAGCACAUUGGACAAGACAACAAUCAACCUCAAACUAAUAACUUGACCCAGGUGGGCAGGGAACAAGGUAAUGAUGAGGACGGUAGGCGGGACUCAGAUGAGGGGCGGAGACACAGAAUCACAAGACAAGAGAAACCAAACUGAAGCACAUGGAAGACUACAAACAAACACAGGAAGUUCAAGCCCAGGAGAUACCACUGGAAAAACCAACAUAAAAGUCCAACACAUGAAACACAAACCCAGAACCCUAACAGUAAUCCUGACAAUCUCACUAUCUUCACCUUCUCUCAGAUUUCACCUCCUCCCCUACCCUCCCUCCCUCACUGCUGAUGACUCCGUUGCCUACUUUACCCAGAAGGGGAAGGACCUUAGCUCCUCUUUUACCCCUGCCACCACCCUCCCUCCGCCCCCCCCCCCACCUCUGUCUUUACCCACUUUAUCCCUCCCUCCUCCGAAGGGGUCAAUAGAAUAGUUACGUCCAACCUCGCCACCACCUACCCCUUGACCCUACCCCUUCCUCACUGCUCCAGGCCGUCUCGAGAGACAUCCUAGCAAUUCCCUCCUCCCUUAUCAACUCCUCCCUCACUUCAGGCAUUGUUCCAGCGUCUUUCCAUUCUGCCACAAUAAAGCCUCUCAAGAAGCCGACCCUUGACACCACCGACAACCAGAAGUUCAGCAGCGUUCGACACCGUGAACCACCAGAUCCUUCUCACCACUUUCGCCGAACUUUGCAUUGCUGAAUUUGCACUAUGCUGGUUCACAUCCGAAUCGCACCUAUCAGGUAACAUGGAAUGGCUCCUUGUCCAAACCCUGCACGCUUUAACACGGCUUCUCAUCUCCCUCUAUAUCACAUCUCUGGGCUCUGUAAUUACAUCAUACGACUUUUCCUAUCACUGCUACAUUGACAACACUCAGCUAUUCCACUCUUUCCCCUGCUCUGAUGAAACCCUGAUUGCAAAAUGCAUAUCAGAAUUUCUAGCAGACGUCAACACUCUGACAACUGCCCAUCAAAUGAGGCUUAACCUCAACAAGACUGAGCUCCUCCUAAUGCCAGGGAAAGAUUGCCCACAUAUGGACAUACUGGUCACUGUCGAGAACAUCACUGUAUCUCCUUGUCCACCUGCUAGAAACCUCGGUGAGGUACUGGACAAUCAGUUAUACUGCACCGCAAACAUCACCACGGUUGCCUGAUCCUGCAUAUUUGCACUUAACAACAUCUGCAGGACCUGGCCCUUCCUCACAAGUUCCAGCGUAUCCACACACGUAUGGUCAGACCACACACGCCUGCGCGAGCGCUCCGAUGAACCUCAGCUGGACGUCUGGUACCGCCAUCGCUAAUCGCUAAUCGCCAUCGCUAAUAGCAGACAAAGGUCGAUCAGCGAAGACACAACUCUUCUCUGUUUUGGCACCGCAGUGGUGGAACGAGCUCCCUGCCAACGUCAUCACCGCAGAGUCGCUCACCAGCUUCCGCAAAAGACUCAAAACUCACCUGUUCAGAGUUCACCUAGACUCUGCAUAGUCAUCCAGUCCCCCCCUCCCACUAUUGUAUGUUGUACGUCCUCGCACUUAAUGUAUGCACUUAAUGUACGUUGUAUUAUUCAUAGUACUACCGGUAAAUGUGUAGCAUCGGCAGUAGCUAGCUAUCACUGCUGUAUAUGUGAAAUGGGUCAGCCUAGCGAUUGUUAGUACUAGGUUCUAUGAACAUCCUUACUAUACCGACAGAGAUAUAUUGUUGUUUCACUUCUUAUGACAAAUUGUAAGGCUCUUUCGAUAAAAGCGUCUGCUAAAUGUAAAUGUUAAUUUAAUGCUCCAAAGGGUCGCCGAGGAUGAGGAGAUCCGCCCUGACCCAAAUUUAUAGAACUCAAGAAACAAAGAAAAGGGAAUCCUAGCAGAAAGACUUUGGCCUCUACAGAUCAGGGCCCGGUUUCCCGAUUCCCGGUUUCCGCGCUACAAAAACUCCUACAUUUAGACUUAUCAAAGCUGUUUACCUCGAUGGGCGUGGUUCCUGAAUGGUCUCUUAGGAGUUUUCUUAAGAAACACUCCUUACGUUGUUCGUAAACGGCGCUGUCCAGAAAGAAUGUGCUGAAAUCAAUUGCUCAGACAUCAAUUUUCCAUUUCAUGCGCAGGUACAUGACAGUGUCCUAAAAGAUAUGUCAGUCUUUGCAAAUACAACAUAAUUGCUCAAAAUCCUUCUUGUAGGCCAUGGGCAAACAUAGCAUAGCCUACACUGAUUUAAAAAAUAUAUAGAAAAAUUUACAAUUUGAAAUGAAAGCUAAAUUUUUAAUCGUUUAUUUAGCUUAUUAUAUAAUACUGUUGUAUGCUGAGACUGCUUUGCUUUUUGUUACCUGUAGUGGUCUGUGUGGGGUUUUGCUAAAUGUAAAGGGAAAGAGGCGGUGGUUGAAAAAAGUAUUUUGACCCCUUAUUACAUUCACUUGUUCCUUAUAAUGGUUUAUUUAUUACCCAGUAUAAUUUCCUUAAUUUAGAAGACAGUUUGGUUCAUUUUUGAUUUAUAAAAUGAAUACAAUAUUUUUUUGAAGUUGCGUGUUUUUGAAAUUAUUGGAAGCAAGUGGAGCUGACUGCGCCUUGCUGUACUCACGGCGAAACAAAGAACAACGAGACAACAUCCUUAUUAAAAUAAGUUGUUUAAUUUGGCCCCAAUUGGCUACGGAUGCGAACUGUUUCCCGGAACCUUCUUAAAGCCUUCUUAACGCUACAUCAUUCGUAACCUCUUCUUUAAGUUCUUCACUUGUUUCCCGAAACGUUCUUUGCUACGAAUCUCUUUCGUACGUCGUUUGUUGAUAAGGUUGGUCUGAAGCGCUC